ACAUAGCAAUCUUGGUUGAGUCUUCCUCAAGGAGAGACACUUCCCCCCAUGUUCUGAUCGGCAGAGUGGUGGAUGCUUCUUUUCUGCAGGCACGAUGGACAGAAAUGUAGGAUACUUGAUGAGCACCCCUUGAUAAAAGAUUGAAGAAGCUGUCUUUACCCUAAGCUUCUCUGUGUGGUGAUGAGACAAAAUCAACUCCUUGGAAGUCUGUUACGCCAAAUAUCAAGUUCCAGCCCAAGUGAGAGCUCCACUUGGAAAACAGAG